rnacentral:rRNA from 1 species
GACGAACGCUGGCGGCGUGCUUAACACAUGCAAGUCGAACGAAAAGACCCUGAUCUUGUGGGGUGCACGAGAGGCGAAGGGGUGAGAAACACGUGAGUAAAAUGCCCUUGUCUUUGGGAUAUAUUCAGGGAACUGGGGAUAUUACCGGAGAGGAGCUCCUGCUGCAUGUUGUGCAAUGGAAAGAUUCGGCGGUUGGGGAACGACUCGCGGCUUAUCAGCUUGUUGGUGGGGUAGUGGCUUACCAAGGCUUUGACGGGUAGGCGGCCUGGGAGGGUGACCGGCCACAUUGGGACUGAGAUACGGCGCAGACUCCAACGGGCGGCAGUGGUGGGAAACAUGACGCAAUGGCGGGGAGUGAGAUGCAGAGGCGCCGCGUGCGGGAUGCUGGCUUUCUGGUUGUGAACCAAUUUCGACUGUAACAAGGAGUUAGUGACGGUACUGGGUAAAGAAGCACCGGCUAACUACGUG